AGAUAAACGACACUUGUGAAAUGGCAAAGAGUAUUGACAGUUGUGCAUAGUUAAGAACUGGCAAAAAGCACCAAAACUUCUGAGCAUGGUCGACAAUGGCUAUAGCCAAGGGAUGGUCACUGUUCGCCUCGACCGUGGAAACGAGAGCCAGAAAGAAGUUUGGCGGGCAAACAUCAUGGCCAACGAACAUUUCAAUAUGUGUGACAGUCGGUGUUCCUCUUGUAAGGGUUCCAGUUUUAUCAAAUAUGACGGUUGAAAUCUUGAAAAACCCCAAAACACAAUAAUAUCUUGUACAUCUUCUAUGUUCAACAAAAAAACACAAUGAUGGUGCAUGUAAAUACAAAGAAACAUCAAACAUCUAAGCAAUGAAACGUCCACCAAAACGUGCAGAGUUAAAAAGAAUAAAGUUUAUAAAAC